GGGGAAUUUUGGACAAUGGGCGCAAGCCUGAUCCAGCAAUGCCGCGUGCAGGAUGAAGGCCUUCGGGUUGUAAACUGCUUUUGUACGGAACGAAAAAGCUCUCUCUAAUACAGGGGGUGAAUGACGGUACCGUAAGAAUAAGCACCGGCUAACUACGCGCCAGCAGCCGCGGUAAUACGUAGGGUGCAAGCGUUAAUCGGAAUUACUGGGCGUAAAGCGUGCGCAGGCGGUUUUGUAAGACAGAGGUGAAAUCCCCGAGCUCAACCUGUGAACUGCCUUUGUGACUACAAAGCUGUACUGCGGCAGAGGGCGAUGGAAUUCCGCGUGUAGCAGUAAAAUGCGUAGAUAUACGGAGGAACACCGAUGGCGAAGGCAAGCCCCUGGGCCUGCACUGACGCUCAUGCACGAAAGC
rnacentral:rRNA from 1 species